rnacentral:rRNA from 1 species
GACGAACCGUGCGAACGUUGUUCGGAAUCACUGGGCUUAAAGGGCGCGUAGGCGGGUUCGCAAGUCAGGGGUGAAAUCUUUCAGCUUAACUGGAAAACAGCCCCUGAUACUGCGAGUCUCGAGGGAGGUAGGGGCAUGUGGAACUUCCGGUGGAGCGGUGAAAUGCGUAGAGAUCCGGAGGAACACCGACGGCGAAGGCAGCGCCCUGGCCGACAACUGACGCUCAGGCACGAAAGCUGGGGGAGCAAACAGG